rnacentral:rRNA from 1 species
ACUUUAAUUAAAAAUUUAUAUACCGCCAUUCAAAACUAAUUUUAUAAUAAUAUUUUAAAAAAAAAAUAAAAGAUUAGGUCAAGGUGUAAUCUAUAUUUAAGUAUAUAUGGGUUACAUUAAAAAAUUUUAAGGAUUUUUAAUUAAAAAAUUUUUUUAAAAGAGGAUUUAAAGGUAAUAAUAAAAUAAUAUUUUAUUGUGAUUAAGAUAAUAAAUGUGU